GCCUAUUAAUUGUAGGCCUGCAUGAAGGAAAUCACCUAGAUUAAUUUUUUUUUAUUUAAAAUCAAACUUAAAGGAGAUUAAAAAAUUUCUCUUUUUUUUAUUAGACGAGAAGACCCUAAAAACUUUUUAAUAAAUUAAUUUUUUGGGGAAAAUAAAAAAUAUUUUUCUUUUUCUUUUAUUAUAAAAUAACUUAAAAAUAAGUUACUUUAGGGAUAACAGAGCAAUUUUAAAUUAAAGAACUUAUUAAAUUUAAAUAUUGCGACCUCGAUGUUGGAUUCUUGAAUCUUUUUAUUGCAGCAGAUAAAUAAGAAUAGACUGUUCGUUUUUUAAAUCAAGACGUGAUCU
rnacentral:rRNA from 1 species